rnacentral:lncRNA from 1 species
UGGAAGCCCCUGCCCUGCACACACGGCUUUGCUGACCGUUUGGGGCACCUGCAGCGCCAUCCCACCAGCAUUCUGCUGCCUGGGAACUUCAAAAUGGUUGGCCUGCCAGCAUGGCACAGAGAAGGGACUCCUGCCUGCCCCUCAGCUGCUGCUUCUGCUGUCCUGGAGGUCACGGUGAGGGGCCGGCCGGUGAGCAGAUCCAGGGACAGGAUCCAGCCCAGCAUGCGCUCUUUGGAUCUUUGGCAGGGCUCAGGAUGCGGUCUCUUGCCUCCCGCUGUGGAAGCGGGUCCAGGCUUCCCAGAGUUGCCAGCAGCACCUUUUGGGUCCCUACACCCUCCGGGAUCCACAGGCCCCAGGUGGGUUGGCAGGAAGCCGCGCUUCUUGGGCCUCCCGAAGGCCACCUGGCCAGCUGCUCAGGCCGCCUGGAGGAAACCUGGCUGCACGGGAAGGCGGCUGUCUGGCGUCUGCCUCUAAGGGGGCAGCGUAGGACCAGAGGCGGCAGUGCUGAGCACCCCAGCUGCGCCUGGACCAGCUCAGAAGGGCAUNCCGUCGCUCCAGGACUCUGCUCCUGCCUCGGGGAAGAGGGAUUGAGGGGGCCGUGGCCCCUGCGGGCAGGGAGAGCCGGGCCGGAGCGGAAUGGGUCCUUUGAGAUUUCCACCCACCCAGGCGGCCCCUGGUGGCCAAGGGUCGUGGCUGCACGCGUGCCCAGACGCCUUUCUCCCAUGCCGGCCUGCAGGAGCCCUGAGCGGCAACGGAGCCGAGGACAUUCCCUGGAGAAAGGACACCCUGCUCUGGGGCCGACCUCCGGCGCACUGGGUGCAGGACNUCCGGGCCAUCUGCGCGCAAAAGUGGCGCGAGGGGCAGUCCUCCGGCUGCUGCUCCGCUCCUGCUGCUGUCAGAGGCCACGCUCCCGCCGUGUACUGGGAGUGCAGAGCAGGUAAAUGGCCGAGGGAAAAGCAGAUUCUUCUUGAGCCAGGCCCCCUCCUGUUCCUCCGUUGUGCCCCCCUGCCAGGCUAACAGCCCCCCUUCUUUCCUUCCCAGCACCUUUGCCUCAUGAUGACUGCAGCGGGUUCUUCUCAGACCCACUGAUGCCACCAGGACACCAGAUCUGCCAUGGACCAUCUGGCAGCCCUCAGCAGGUAGGUCUCUUCUCCUUAGAGCAGCAGCACAGCACUGCAGGCCCCCAAGCGUCCCAUCAUCCCUUGCCAACUCCGGCUGCUCUAGGGGGCUCUGAGUGCCACGGUGGAACCCACGCCCGCCAGCCCUAGAGCCAGGCCAGGCCCAGCUNGCUUGCCUACUUGCUGAAAAGCAUUUGCCAGUCCUCGCUAACCAGCCAUCAGAGUUCAGUGCUAGAUUUUCGCUAACGUUAAGUCUUAUUUGUUGUUGUGCUUCUAGACUUCUCCUGUAAAAUGCUCUGGGAUUUAAAACAAAGCCAUGUUCAGGGACAGUAUCCACCCUUAGCUUUCCUGACCGGGCUUUCAGUUGCAAACGAGAGAGGCAGAGAAGCCCCCCUAUGAGCAUGAUGCAGAGAACAGGUCACCGUCUUGGGCUGCAGGGCCACCCCAAGAGAGGCCCUGCGUGUUGAUUUGCCGCCAUGACUCUCCUGAAGCAGUUACCUCGCCUCUAACCUCUCUCCUUGGCGCAGGUCCUCCACCGGCUGUGCCUCGACCCGCCCCCUCCCAUUAUGUCUGUCCGUGAAUCUGGGCCCCCUCGCGAGCUCCAUGCCAGGGGUCAGGGGCUGUCUGCCACAGACUGCAAGGAGGGCUCGCCUCUUUGGGGCCAGGGCAUUGCCCCCCUCUUCCCAAGAGAAGCAGAACCGGACAAAUGGACCGAAGCCCUCGACCUGCGCCUGUCUGCGUCGAGGAACAGGUGCUCUCCGUGCCUGUCCACGGCUGGGGGCCCGGGGGAGAAAGCGCCCGCCCCCUCUCCUGGCGAGGGCAC